rnacentral:lncRNA from 1 species
AACCGCCGCCUGCGCGCCGGCUGCCCCUCGGCUCCUGGGAGCCGCGGCGCUACGGGCCUGCCGAGCACUCGGGCGGGCGCCGAGCAGGCUGGGCCCCGGCGCAGUGGCCUAGCCUGGACCGCAAGGCCGAAGCCGCCUCCGGGCCGCGUCCCGGUGUUUCGGGUUGUGUAACCUUGGCCAAAAUGCUUAAGCUUUUUUCCUGGCUGCCAAAUGGGGCCGAUCGUCUGACCUGCUGCCUCCGGAACUUGAGGGAUCAGAUCAAAUAACCCUUUCCUGGCGCUCGUCUGCCGCUGUGAAUGAAUCACGGGCUCCUGUAAUCACCGUUAGGAGAGAUUGUUAAACUCGUACAGGGUUGGAUGUUUUAAAGUUACUGAAUAUUUACUGGACCCCUACUGUUCAAUCAAGACAUGCUAAGUUAGCUUGCCAUUCUUGUUCAUUUAUGUGUUUACUUAACUAUUUCUGGGUCUCCUCUUCCCAGUCAUAAAUAUCUCUUGGAGUGUAAGCUCCUCGGAGCAGAGAUCCUGUUUCCGUAUUUCCUGUACCUAGAACAGUGCCAGAUCCGUAGUAGACACUGAAACAAAAAAUCUUUAAAAAAAAAAAAAUAUACGAAUGUGGCACCACCAUUUACACAGGCCACUAAGCCAAAAAUCUCGAACUUGUCAGAUUGUCUCUUCUCAGCCAUCAGCAGUCAACAAGUUCUAGCAUUUGGUCUCUUAAAAGUGGUUCAAGAGUUUAUUUUUCCUCUCCUUCCUCUGCCAGUACCAACCAGUCUUCCGUAUCACUAUGUAUUGCAAGAGUCUCACAAGAAGAUAUCCAUCACUGACUGAUCUUCCUCCCGUUUAACAUCCCCAACAGGUGCCAGGGUGAUGUUUUUUUUAUUCUAAAAAGAAACCAGAUUAUAUCGCUCACUCCCUUGCUUAAAACAGUUCUUCAAUGUUAGGUAAAUAAAUCAUGGAGUCACCACGAGGGCGUUCAUCUGCCAGGCACUAUUCUGAACGAUAUUGGCUCAUUAAAUUCUCACAGAAACCCUAUGCAGCAGGUACGGUGAAAAUGUUCCUGUUACAGAUGAGGUAACUGAAGCACAGAGAGCUUGAGUGGCUUGCUGAAACACCAGACCCACUCAGUCUGGCUCCAUAAUAGGUCUUUUUGCUGGUAAUGAUUUACCAACUAUACAGCCACUUUAAAAAAAGGAAAUAGGUAAGUACUGGCAUGGAAUGAUAACCAAGAGGUUCUGUUAAAUUUUCAAGUUGAAGAAAAUAAGAGUUUAACUUCAUUUUAUAUGGCAAUAUGUUAGUCUGCCCAUAGAAAACAAUCUGAAAGAUUAUAACAAACUACUAUCAGUGGUUAACUUUCUACUUUGUACAUGCCUAUAAAUGUUUGGUUAUUUUUUACAGUGAGCAUGUGCUAACUAUGUAAUCAGAAAAAAAGUUCCCUGCUAAAGGAUAAAGUCCAAAUUUUUGCCUAUUUUAUCCCUAAUUUAUUUCCCUAACUUUACCUUCCACCAAUUUCUAUGCUCUGCAUUCACCCGUAUAUAUUUUUACACCUCUGUGCCUUUGCUCUUUAUACUCCCUUUAUCUGGCAUGCUCUGCUUCACCUUGUGCCUUAGAUAUUAUCCUUUCAGACCUAGCUGAUGAUCACCUCCUCAGUGAAACCUUGCAUGAUCCCUUGAGAAAUGGAGCAUUCCUUCUUUGGGAUUUCAAUAGCAUUUGGCGUGUUGUGUUGUAAUUAUCUAUUCACAUUUCCUCUUCUACACUGCAUUCGGACCUUUUUGAUUGCAGGGACUAUGAUUUGUUUGUCUUUAUAUCUGUCCCAGCUGCUGAGAUAGUGCUUGUCACAUCAUAGGUAUUCAACUCUUUGCUGAAUGAAUGAAGACAUUAACAAGUGAAAAGUCAAAUAGCAUAGCAAGAUUUGAAGAAUGCUUUCUAGAUAGUGUAAGAAACAUCACAAAGCAGUACAUGAUUAAUUGCUGAAUGAAUCAUACACCAGUAAUUGCUGUAGAAAUCAGAGGAGGCAUCUUAUACAUCUUUGUAUAUCCUCCCGAGCACCUAGCAGGGUGACUUGCUCAUAGUGAAAGCUCAGUCAAUUCUGUGAAUGAAUAAUCACUGCUCUUGAAUGAAGUGAUGAUGUGCAAUUGAAGAACAAGCCGUGUAAGUGCUACAUUAAGAUGGAUGUGUAGUUUCUUAAGUAUCCAUCACCACCCUCCACAGAUUUGAGGUAGUAUGCAUGUGGCAGGUGUUUUGGGGAGGACUGGGUUGGCAAAUGCUUGGAGGUAGGGAGGACACAAGAAAAAGUAUAUUCAUUUAGGGAGGAUAGAUUAAAACCAGGAAACUACACACACAACAAAGAACAGGCAUGACAGUGUACUUUUAAAAAGGAACACAAAAGCUGGCCAACUGUGCAAAUGGUCAACAGGCAGUAAAAGCAAUGGGCAAUGAGAGAAGUGGAAAGAAACCCUAUUUCAGAGGAGUAUUUGGGAAAAUUUAAUGGAUGGAAGAGCAGGUAGAGCCAUUAAUUCAACGAUUAUUUAUUAAGCCUCUACUAUGUACCAGGCACUCUGGUAGGUACUAGGGGAAUUAUGCUGAUAAAUGGCAUUAGGUGAUACAAGUCUGACAGCAGUAGGUGUGGAAAGAAGGAAAGGGAGAUAAAGUAACUG